UGACAACGGCGGCAACGACUUGGACGGAUGAGAGCUUGAGUUCCGGUUUUAGUUUUUUCUUGUGAUUUUUUUAAGUGGACAGCUGUGAAAAUCAUUUUUGCACGCGGUUACACCUCCCGUUUGAGAAAAUACCAAUUUUCGCAAACACCUUUUGGCAAUAUGGCCGCUAGCCGUUUUCAAAAAUGUGCUUUGGCCAUUAAAAAAAAAAGGAACCGUCUAUCUGUUUGUCGACAGAUUUUUGGGGCAAAAUCACCCACAUUUUUCCAGCCCUUAGAUCUACAUCCAAUGCAUAGAAAAAAAAUAACUAGAAACAAACUUUUUACCGUGUGGGCCUUAUGGAAACAAAAAAUAAACAACAAUUAGGCUGAAAAUCAAGCCCAAAACACAGAGCCCAAUAGAAAUUAGACACGAAAUUAUCAUUCAAAACUUUUGACACAAUACAAAUGGUCGGAACCAUACAAAAGAAAAAGAAAAAAAAUACUCAUACUAGUGUAGAAAACAGAUUCCACAGUACAAAACUAGGCCAUUACUAACUCAGAACUUCAUUAACAUUUUUCAUUGUGGCAUGUGUGCAUAGAGAGAACAAAAUGGAAUCUCACAAAAAUUGGUAAAGAAUUUUACAAGCUCAUUCAAGGAGAAAACAUCUGUCAGAAAUCACUGCAGAGAAGACAUGUAUCAAUCAGUGAUAUUUGCUCUAAUACCUUUAACAACCGAUUUGAUCAAACGAGCACAUCUCAUAUGUUGAGCUUGAAAUGCCACCAUGAAACUCAGCUUCUGCCUAAACAGCACCUGUCAGGAUUGCAGAAAACAGUGCAUCAGUAAACUGCUAGGAUAUGCAACGAGAUAUCUGCAAAAAUAGGGAUUUUCUUUGUGCACGAAAAUUUUCUUUGUGAACCAAAGAACUGAAAUUAGAUAAUCCUACCAAAAUUAACUCUGAAUUAAAAAUUCAUAAUAACUAUAAAAAUGCCCAUCUAGCAGGGCAUCAGCCUCCCUAGAUUCGAUAUAUACAUGGUAAUAAGGACAUUCCACCGUGACAAUUUCAGUUACAAGAAAAAAUGAAGUUCUAGCUACCAAUAAUCAGUUACAAGAAAAAAUAAUAAAAAUUACAUAUGUAACUAAGGUAUACUUCCACUGUAACUGGACUGUAAGUGGUGAUGAGUUGAACUGUAAGUAUGAUCUAAAUUGUACUAGUGAUGGAUGGUGUUGCAUGAAACACAAGGCAACACAGAUAAAUAGAAAAUAACAGUACAAAACUUGGUCUACAUUACUAACUAGCAAAAACAAAUAUAUCAGGCACAGAUCUAAGAAGAUGAAGAUGCCUAGGGUUCCUCAAACUACGAGUCCCUCACUUUUCACACGAUUUAUUGAUAAAACCAAUAUCAAAAAGUAACAUUCUAAUUACCAACUCAGUUACAGUGAAAGAUAAUAGAAAUUACAACUAUAAGUGAGGUAUAUUUCCACUGUAACUGCACUAUAAGUGCAAUACAAGUCCAUCACUUUUCACACAAUUCAUUGAUAAAACCAAUAUCAAAAAGUAACAAUCUAAUUACCAACUCUCAGUUACAGUGAAAGAUAACAGAAAUUACAACUGUAAGUGAGGUAUAUUUCCACUGUAACUGCACUAUAAGUGAUGAUAAGUUGUACUGUAAGUGUGUUUUAAGACUACAUGAAACCUAAAAUAUUGACUUCAUCUCAUGAACAAAAUUCAUAACUGAAAAUACCAUUUGAAAACUUAACUAAAUCACCAGAUGUAAGAAGUGGGCAUCAAAUACAGAUUUAGAUCAACCAUUCAAAUGCCUCAAGAGAUAUUUUUUUUCUGGGGUAUUUUCCUAGGAGAAAACAUCUAAACGUUGCAACAGAAAUAAAAAAAACACUGAUAAACCAUAAAAGGCACAAGUUCUCCUUUUAUGUUUGAAUGAAAGGAAUUAAUAGACACAUAAGAGUUAUGUCCAGGCAACACUUAUUAUGCAAAAAUCAAGCAGAAUCUACGCAAAGACAAAGAAAAGAAAGUUAAUGUUGGUUGCAUACACUAACAGGCAACAUAAAUGAAGUGGCCUCACACUUGCAAUGACGCAAGAAGGCUAGCUAAUUUCAGUAAAGACAUAUAGCUAAUUCAAAAAUGGAUGAUGACCGUACACAGCAUUGAUUGGAAAAAAAAAACCUAUAACACAAGGGGAAGCAGUACAAACUCACACAUAUUCUAACUUUUGCAUGCACAACUGACAAAAAGAGUCCCUAGGGUUCCCAAACAACAAGUGUCCUAGUUUUCACACAAAUCAGUAAUAAACCAAUGUCAAUCAAUUACAAAAUCUAACUACCAAUAGUCAGUUACAGCGAGAUAUAACAGAAAUUACAGCUGUAAGUGAGGUAUAUUUCGACUGUAACUGCACUGUAAGUGGUGAUGAGUUGUACUGUAAGUAUGUUUUAAGUUAGAACUAUUGUAAUUUCAGACUGCAUGAAACACACAAUAUUUAAGUUAGGUAGUCAGAUUACAACAUGAUUUCUAAUGCUUUCAAUUACAUACACCAACCAUACUUGUGCUAAAUUACGUGCAGGGGCUGAUAGAACAAAGGCUCAAGUAACAAGGACAGUUGAAGGUUAGAAUAUCAUGCUUACCUAUUAUUAUGCAUCAUAUGUGAUCUUCGUAGAAUUUUUUUUUUUUGACCAGGAUCUUCGUAGAAAAUUUCAUCUAGCACAAAUUUAUAUAUAAAAAAAUUAGUCAUGACACAUGUAGUAAACAAAAAUAAUCUAACUACCUACAUUCAGUUACAGUGAGAAAUAACAAAAGUUACAACUGUAACUACGGUGCAUAUGGACUGUAACUGGACUAUAACUGGAAUCAUGCUUAACUUUCUCCAAAAAUUCAGUACUCAUGCAAUAGCAUCAGCAAAAAACAAGUAUAAAUAGAUACUAUACUGAUUUAACAGAAGCUAUAAAUUUGAUUGUUAGGCUCGACAAUUGCCAUGCUUUGAUAAGACUGGUUAAACUCGACGCUGUGACCACUUAUAUUUACCGAACUGUUCACAUGCAGCGUGCAGAGGCCAACCUGAGAAGCAAGGGAAAAAUUGUAAAAUAAAAGAAAUGUUGGUCAGUUUUGCAGAGUGCUCAAGACUGACAAACAUGCGUUGUGUUGCAGCUAAAAGUAAGUGCUUGGCUUUGCAUGGCAGGCACUGGCCUUCAUCUGAAAGAAUCCGUGCUAUGACCAGUGAACAAAGAAGAUGGUAGAAAUACACACAGGAAAGAAAUCAGUAUUUAGGGAAUUCUUGUUAGGACCGGAUGGGCUAUGGUUGGACCGUUACAACAAUCCUCCAAUCCAGCCCAAGAAGGCCCAGUUGGAGAGGCAACAAAAGCAGCAGCAGCAGGAAGGUUGGGGGCAUCGAUUGAUCACUUGGACUUGGUGGAGCUGAAGCUCUCGACGGCGGCGGCGACCUGGGCAGCCGGUGGGCACCCUUGUCGAUCUCUCUCCCCUACCUCUCCUCCUACUUACAGCCUUCUCUCUCAGCUCUAGAAGCUUCCAGAAUUUGUAUUACUUAGUUUCUUCUUCUCUUUUCAUCCCAAAACAAUUGUUCCUUGUAUGGUGGAUGCUUGCUAUUAAGUUGGAAGAAGUGGGUUGUUAACAAUCUGGUAUCAGAGCCGUUCGGUUCAUUGGGAUUCUUGUCAUGGAGGUGUUGGGGAGGCAGCCAUGCAAGAGGGAGCAGGAAUUGGGUUGGGGAAGUUUUCAUCCAAGCAGCGCCCACCAACUGUUCGAUGGAACGCCAAGCCAACCUGCGAUGUCCAAGAAAGAUCAGAGCAUAUCUGAGCCCAUUCCCAUCAAUUCCACCAUGAAAAAAGAGGAGAAAUGGCUAGAUGAAGCUUUGGAUCGGAUAUUGGAGAAGUUUGAACAAAUGGAGGCCAAGCGUAGGUGUGAUGAGAAGAUUGAUCGAAUUUUGAAGAAGUUGGACGAGAUAGAUGCUAAUAGGAACAAGUUCUUCGAGGAGAUGGGUGCCUCUAUCAAGGCGACCACUGCCGUACUCAAUGCUGGAUCAUCUCUACCACCCAUGGCACCGUCUCCUCUAGCGCCUACCAAGUGUUUGACGGAAUGCUCCAACAACAACAUCACUUGGGUGGCUGCGAAUUCAAGUCACAUUGGUGAGGUGCUUGCUCCGAUAGCUGCCUGGGAGCUAGGAGACAGAAAGGACAUGGACCAAGCUCCCUACAUUGUCACCAAGGACCUCCUCAAGGUCACGCCCACCAAGUGUUCGACGAUAUGCUCUAGCUCUGACACCAAGCCCGAUCUCACUGUAGUUGCUCCGGUUACUUGCACCACCCUCGCUGUGUCAUCAAUGGUGUUGUUAGCUUCUGACGGCACCACUGGCAACACUAACAUUGACGCCCCUGUUUGUUUCAAGGAGACGCAUGCCAUGUGCUCGAUGGUCGGCCUCGACGUCAAUGGUGGCAAUGACCAAGCUGUGGUUGCAUUCCAAACCAAGACAGUGGUGUCCAAGGACGUUUCAGCAUCCGUCCACCCCAUGGGCAACCUAGCAACCAGAUUAUUCGUUGACAAGAUGAUGGUACAAUGUGAGCUGCAGCCAGUACCUUGUGAAACGUUCAACUCCUAUGACACAAGAGUACAUAUCUUGCAACCUUGGCCGCCGACAAUUAAAGUAAGUUGGCUUGCACUGAUAUUUAUUGAAAUUGGAGUAGCUCACACUGAUAUGAUGGAUAAAGUGUUGCAUUGGGCUGAUCUAAAACCAUGGCCUCCACCUUCGGGAAAUGGCAGUGUGCAUUUCCUGAUCAGUGCACAUGCAAGUGUUGAAUUACAGGAAUUAGAUUUGGCUGAGGCAAGGGAAGGUGAGUUAUUAUCAGUUGUUGACCUAUGGUUUGUUGAGAUGUGGCACUCAGGUUAUGCAAUCCUCAAUGAAAAUUAUGAAGACUAUAACCUGCUUCAACUCCUAUUAUGCAAGAAGUGGCUUAAACUUGUACUAUGUGAAAUGUGCUGUAGAAGAUAUGAACUGAAGUUGCCAAUUGGGUGUGAUCCUAAACAGUACAUUGUUGACUUGAUUCUAGAGUUGGAAGGUACUUUGGAGGCUCUGGGUGAUUAUUGUUUCCUGUGUCAGGGAGUAUGGUCUGAAUUCAUAGUUGGCAAUAAUUUAGAUUUUUUGAAGCAGCUAGAAUUAACAUCUGAUAAGCUGGUGCAAGUAACCUCGAAUCUAGUAAGAACAUGUUAUAUGCAGAAGUUAGGAACUGGAGAGGAACACAUACUCAAAUUCAAAUAUGCUUGUAAUGGAUGGCCCACAAGGAAGUUCAGAAAGAUGCCAAAGAAUGAUUGUAAUGGACACUGGAAGAUGUCUAGAUUGUUUGUGAACCUACAUUACUUCUCCUUUGGCUUAUCGACUGCUAAAACAGUUCAAAAGGGCAGCUGCUAUCUAAGGGGCUCUGACAAGGUGUUGUUAACUAAGUUGGAAAUGCAGAGUUGUGUGAACCUGGGCGAUGAUAAUGUUUCUUGUCACACGAUGGCUCCUAGUGAAGGAAUGGAUUUUUGUGAGUUAAAAGUGCUUGAGGUAACAAGUGAUGGAUGCCCAAUAUUCUGGAUUUUGGUUCUAGCAGCUACUGAAUGGAAGGUUGGAAAUUAUACAAUUCUAACUGAAGGGACUUAUACCAAGAUGGCUGUUUGUUCAGAGCAGAAAUUACAAUGUGAUGCAUUAAAAAGAAACCAGACAGGGGCAAAGCAUGUUAUCCAGAGGAACACAUUUGUUGCUCCUGGGAAUUUAGCCUACUCAGUAACCAACAACUAUCUACCAGAAGGCAACAAACAUAGAACUAUGGCCACAAGGGUGAAUGUUUUUGGACAUGGUAUCCACUCAACAGAAAACCAAGGAUUUUAUUCAGAAGGGAUUCAGGUGCAUUCGAGUGUCCAGAAAAUUCCUGCUCUUGUACUGAACCGUGAAUUAAGUAUGGAUUUUAGCAAAGAUAUUGCAGCUCCAAUGAAAUAUGCUCUACAAGUUUCUGAAUCUUUUGAGCUCAACAGGAGCAAAAAGGUACAUGAUCUAUUCCAUUUCGACGAUGGUUUACUGUCUAGCAGCCAAGAAUUGGAGCACCCAUGGGAUCCAGGAGGUUUGCUUCAUCGGCUUGGGGACAAGACGAUUUUCAAGGAGAGGGGAUUGUUAGGACCGGAUGGGCUAUGGUUGGACCGUUACAACAAUCCUCCAAUCCAGCCCAAGAAGGCCCAGUUGGAGAGGCAACAAAAGCAGCAGCAGCAGGAAGGUUGGGGGCAUCGAUUGAUCACUUGGACUUGGUGGAGCUGAAGCUCUCGACGGCGGCGGCGACCUGGGCAGCCGGUGGGCACCCUUGUCGAUCUCUCUCCCCUACCUCUCCUCCUACUUACAGCCUUCUCUCUCAGCUCUAGAAGCUUCCAGAAUUUGUAUUACUUAGUUUCUUCUUCUCUUUUCAUCCCAAAACAAUUGUUCCUUGUAUGGUGGAUGCUUGCUAUUAAGUUGGAAGAAGUGGGUUGUUAACAAUUCUGAAUCUACUAACAGAUGCAAGGAGUUUAACAGAUCAGUCAACUAAUCUCUGAAAAUGAAAUGCAACAUUCACAUAAAGUUGCAACGAUGCUUCCCCUACUCCAGCAGAAACAAAACACAGAUAACUACAUGACAAAACAGAUGAAUUUACUCACAUGACAAGUCAGCCGAUGCAGAAGGGAAUGGACCAAACAGGGUGUUGUAGUUGAGCCUCUUGAUCAAAUUUCACAGCAAAAGAGUUAACUGACUGACAGGCUCCACAAAUAAUUAACAUGGCAACAAUAUUG
rnacentral:lncRNA from 1 species